GACUUUCCCAGACAAACGGAGGCUGAAGGAUUUCAUCAAUACCAGUUCUAGGCUACAGGAAAUGCUAAAGAGUGUACUUCAAUAAGAAAGAAAAUGUCAUUAAUGUGCAAGAAGAGUCAUGUGAAGGUUUAAAACCCACUGGUAAUAGUAAUUACACAAAAACACAGAAUAUUGUCAAACUGUAACUAUGGUGUAUAAACUACCCUUAUAUUAAAUGGAAAAAUUGAACAAAGAACUAAUCAAAAAAAAAAAAAAAAAAAAAAAAAACCCAAAAAAAAAAGGCUGGAGAAAUUACAUUAUUUGACUUCAAAUUAUACUACAGAGUGAUAGCAGCGAAAACUGAAUGGUACUGGCAUAAAAAUAGACAUAUAGACCAAUAUAAGAGAAUAGAGGAUGCAGAAACAAAUCCACAACAUAUAGUGAACUCAUUUUCAACAA
rnacentral:lncRNA from 1 species